AAGAAGAUUUAUGAAUCUCGAAAGAUAUACAGGAAAGAAGAGUUUACGGAGAGAUUGAUUAACCGGAACCGUGAAAUUCGAUCGCCGGAGAUUAAGGUGAGACAAGUAGGAAUGGAGCUCGAAAUCGCGAAAUCAACCACCGAUGGCUCUGGUUAGUAGUCAGCGACGACCAUUUCUCUGGUGAAUACCACACACAUGAG